rnacentral:rRNA from 1 species
GUGCCAGCCGCCGCGGUACUACCGGCAGCUCGAGUGAUGUCCAAUAUUAUUGGGCCUAAAGCGUCCGUAGCUGGCCGACCAAGUCUCCCGGGAAAUCCACCCGCCCAACGGGUGGGCGUCCGACGGAAACUGCACAGCUUGGGACCGGAAGGCUCGAAGGGUACGUUCGGGGUAGGAGUGAAAUCCCAUAAUCCCGCACGGACCACCGAUGGCGAAAGCACUUCGAGAAGACGGCUCCGACGGUGAGGGACGAAAGCCAGGGUCUCGAACCGGAUUAGAGACCCUGGUAGUCC